rnacentral:rRNA from 1 species
AUUGAACGCUGGCGGCAGGCCUAACACAUGCAAGUCGAGCGAGCGGCGGACGGGUGAGUAAUGUAUGGGGACUGCCCGAUAGAGGGGGAUAACUACUGGAAACGGUAGCUAAUAACGCAUACUAUCGGAUAACCCAGAUGGGAUUAGCUAGUAGGUGAGGUAAUGGCUCACCUAGGCGACGAUCCCUAGCUGGUCUGAGAGGAUGAUCAGCCACACUGGGACUGAGACACGGCCCAGACUCCUACGGAGGCAGCAUUGGGGAAUUUUUGACAAUGGGGGACACCCUGAUCCAGCCAUCCCGCGUGUAUGAUGAAGGCCUUCGGGUUGUAAAGUACUUUCAGUCGGGAGGCGUUACCGACAGAAGAAGCACCGGCUAACUCCGUGCCAGCAGCCGCGGUAAUAC